AUCUAGCCCUGAUAGUAGCGGCAUCCUUUUCUUGUCUCCUUUAGACAAGAAAAGAUAUAGCGAAUAGCAGGAAAUAGC
rnacentral:snRNA from 1 species